GACGAACGCUGGCGGCGUGCCUAAUACAUGCAAGUAGAACGCUGAAGGAGGAGCUUGCUCUUCUGGAUGAGUUGCGAACGGGUGAGUAACGCGUAGGUAACCUGCCUGGUAGCGGGGGAUAACUAUUGGAAACGAUAGCUAAUACCGCAUAAGAGUAGAUGUUGCAUGACAUUUACUUAAAAGGUGCAAUUGCAUCACUACCAGAUGGACCUGCGUUGUAUUAGCUAGUUGGUGGGGUAACGGCUUACCAAGGCGACGAUACAUAGCCGACCUGAGAGGGUGAUCGGCCACACUGGGACUGAGACACGGCCCAGACUCCUACGGGAGGCAGCAGUAGGGAAUCUUCGGCAAUGGACGGAAGUCUGUCCGAGCAACGCCGCGUGAGUGAAGAAGGGUUUCGGAUCGUAAAGCUCUGUUGUAAGAGAAGAACGAGUGUGAGAGUGGAAAGUUCACACUGUGACGGUAUCUUACCAGAAAGGGACGGCUAACUACGUG
rnacentral:rRNA from 1 species